CUCUCUUGUGGGAAAUAGACAGGGCUUUGCUUGCCUUUCGAUGAAGCCAUUGCGAUAGAUUUGGAGGAUACGGCUUCACACAAGGACAAGAGUGCGUACGUCUUGAGAGGGUGAUUCGCUCAAUGGGACUGAGACCCGGGUCCAGAUCUCUACGGAGGGCAGCAGUGGGAUUUUCGCAAUGACGAAGUCUGACGCCGCACCGCGCUGAGGUGUAUGGAAGGCUUUCGGUCGUAAAGUCUUUAUGUGGGAAGAACAAGCAGCUAGUUGAUACGCUGCACUUUGACGGUACUUAACCAGUAAGCACACGGCUACUAUGUGCCAGCAGCCGCGGUAAUACAGUAGGUGGCAAGCGUUAAUCCGGAAUUAUUGGGCGUAAAGCGCGCGCAGGUGGUUUGUUAAGUAUGAUGUGAAAGCCCACGGCUCAACCUGUGGAGGGUCAUCUGGAAACUGGCAAGACUUGAGUGCAGUAGAGGGAGAGUGGAAUUUCAUGUGUAGCGGUGAAAUGCGUAGAGAUAUGAAGGAACACCAGUGGCGAAGGCGACUUCCUGGUCUGUUACUGACACUGAGGCGCGAAAGCGUGGGGAGCAAACAGGAUUAGAUACCCUGGUAGUCCACGCCGUAAACGAUGAGAGCUAAGUGUUAGAGUCUUUCCGCCCUUUAGUGCGGAAGUUAAGCCAUUAAGCAAUCCCCUGGGGGAGUACGCCCCCAAGGUAGAAAUUCAAAGAAAUGGAGGGGGGCCCGCCCAAGCGGUGGGCCAUGGGGUUUAAUUGGAAGCAACGGGAAGACCCUUCCCAGCUUUUGCCAUCCUAGAAAAACCCAAAGAAUAGGGGUUGUCUUUGGGGAGUAGACACCAGGUGGUGCAUGGUGUUGUUCAGUUCGUUUCUGGAGAUGUUGGUUUAAGUCCCGCAACAGCGCAACCCUGUCUUUUAGUUGCCAUCAUUAAGUUGGGCCAUUUUAGGAGACGCCCGGUGACAAACCGAGGAAAGGUGGGGAUGACGUCAAGUCAUCAUCCCCUUAUGACCUGGGGUACACACGUGUACAAUGACGGUACAGAAGGUGCACAAGCGCGAGGUGGAGCUAAUCUCUAAAUCCCUUUUCAGGUCCGGAUGUCGGUUGCAAAUUGCAUACCGGGAGGUGGGAUUCGUUGGUAUUCGGGAUUCACAAGGCGCGGGGAAAAACUUUCCCGGCCUUGGACCACCCCCCCGUUCCCCCCAGAGGAGUUGGGAACACCCAGAAGUUAGGUAGGGUAACCUCUUGGGAGGCACGGUACUUUAAAGGUGUAUACAAACUC
rnacentral:rRNA from 1 species